rnacentral:rRNA from 1 species
GGUGCAGGCGGUCCUUCAAGUCGGGUGUGAAAUCUUUCGGCUUAACCGGAAGGGGUCAUUCGAUACUGUUGGGCUAGAGGGCAGCAGAGGGAGGUGGAAUUCCCGGUGUAGUGGUGAAAUGCGUAGAUAUCGGGAGGAACACCAGUGGCGAAGGCGGCCUCCUGGGCUGUACCUGACGCUGAGGCCCGAAGGCGUGGGGAGCGAACAGGAUUAGAUACCCUGGUAGUCCACGCAGUAAACGAUGGACACUAGGUAUGGGGGGUAUCGACCCCCUCCGUGCCGAAGCUAACGCUUUAAGUGUCCCGCCUGGGGAGUACGGCCGCAAGGCUAAA